GUUUGUUUGGAGUUAUAAAGAAUUUAGUCUGCCCCCUGAUAAAUUAUUAAAGGGCCGCAGUAUUCUAACUGUGCAAAGGUAGCAUAAUCAUUAGGUUUUUAAUUGAAAUCUUGUAUGAAUGGCUGGACAAAAGAAAAUCUUUUUUUAUAUUAACUUUUGAAUUUAACUUUUAAGUGAAAAGGCUUAAAUAACCCAAGGGGACGAUAAGACCCUAUAAAACUUUACAUUAUAAUUGAAUUUAAUUUAAUUUAGUAAAAUAAAAAUUUAAUUUAAUUAUUUGUUGUGUUGGGGAGACAUAAGUAGAAUUUAUAUUUAACUAUUUUAGCGAUUCAACAAUUAUAAUUGAAGUGUAAAGGAUCCUUUUUAAAGAUUAAUAAGUUAAGUUACUUUAGGGAUAACAGCGUAAUUUCCUUUAAGAGUUCUUAUCAAAGGGGAAGAUUGCGACCUCGAUGUUGAAUUAAAAUAUCUAUAUAAUGGAGAAGUUAUAUAAGAAGGUCUGUUCGACCUUUAAAUUUUUACAUGAUUUGAGUUCAAACCGGUGUGAG
rnacentral:rRNA from 1 species